rnacentral:rRNA from 1 species
GACAGAGGUGCCAAGCGUUAGGCGGAAUCACUGGGCUUAAAGCGUGUGUAGGCGGAUCGUUAAGUACCUUGUGAAAUCCCACGGCUCAACCGUGGAACUGCUGGGUAUACUGGCGAUCUUGAGCCACCUAGGGGCGAGCGGAACAAGCGGUGGAGCGGUGAAAUGCGUAGAUAUCACUUGGAACGCCAAUGGUGAAAACAGGUAGCUGGGGCUGUGCCGACGCUGAGACACGAAAGCCAGGGGAGCGAACGGG